rnacentral:rRNA from 1 species
UACGUAGGGGGCAAGCGGUUGUCCGGAUUUAUUGGGCGUAAAGCGCGUGUAGGCGGCCAUGUAGGUCUGACGUGAAAUCCCGAGGCUCAACCUCGGUAGGUCGUUGGAAACCAUAUGGCUAGAGUCCGGAAGAGGAGAGUGGAAUUGCCGGUGUAGUGGUGAAAUGCGUAGAGAUCGGCAGGAACACCCAGGGGGAAACCAGCCGACUGGGCAAGUGCUGACGCUGAGGUGCGAGAGCGUGGGGAGCGAACCGG